GGGAAAGUUUGUUUAUUUUGUUUUUAGUUUCUGGGGUCCCCGUGUUUCUCGGAGGUGAAGCGGGAGGGAGUGACCCCCCCCGAGCCCCUCAGUCCCUCUACUACGUCGCCUCCAUAGCCUGCAGAGAAGCGGGGACCGCGCGCAUCGCGGCGCAUCGCCUCACAGCGGAACGCCGCGCACUCGGAGCCGGCACGGCUCAGUGGCAGUAUUUGUGUGUUUCUGCAGAGUUUUGCACAGAGUCUGUUCCCAUGCAGACCAAUGAGGGAGAAGUAUCGGAAGAAAGCAGUUCCAAGGGAUGGAGAAUGGAUGGAAAUAUGGCUGAAACAAGAAUGACAGAAUGUUGGGCUUCCCUGGUGGCACAGUGGUUGAGAAUCUGCCUGCUAAUGCAGGGGACACGGGUUCGAGCCCUGGUCUGGGAAGAUCCCACAUGCCGCGGAGCAACUAGGCCCGAGAGCCACAACUGCUG
rnacentral:lncRNA from 1 species